rnacentral:tRNA from 1 species
GGCUGGGUAGCUCAAUUGGCUGGAGCAGGCGCUUCAUACGCGCAAGGUUGUGGGUUCGAGUCCCACCCCAGCCA